UGAAAGUGUAAUUUUUGCAAUUUUCAAUUGAAUGGUAAAAAUAAAAGGGUAAAUUGGUUAAAACCAAUUAAGGGUAAAAUGAGAAUUUUUAAAUUUUUGUAGGGGUAUAGGGUUAAUUGUAGGGGUACAAGGUAAAAUUUUCUAACUGGAUAUUUCAUCCAAAUUUAAUUUCUAUAACUUUUCUAUAACAAAAAUCAAUAAAAAUAUAAUUGAAUUAAUAGUAAUGCAUGAUUUUUCUUUCCAAAGAAUAUCAGAUUGUCCAUUUAAAUCGUAAGAAGUUAGAAACAAAGACAUUACUUUUCUCCCUCUCGAAGAAAACGCUUCCCUAUGUAUUCUUCAAAUACAAACUUCUUUAACCAUAAUAACUCAUUCAUUCUAAAGGAGUAUUAUAUGCCUCUAAAUUUCCUAUUCCACCAAAAUGCUUAACUUCAUACAGGAACAAAAAUUAUUAAUUAAAUAACAAUUAAACUCUUCAAGGCACUGUGAACGAAAUGCUUAUCUCCACUAUAAUCAUCUGGUUAAUAACAGUAAUACCAUUUAACAAGGAAUAAAAAAAAUGAACUAAACAAUGGCAACCAAAGAAAACGUUUACAGUAAGGUUUUUUUUUUUAAAACAUUUGAAAUAAAUCACAAUCUCAUAAUCCAGCUUUGGCACCAAAAAAAAGAACAAAUGACGGUAGCCGCAACACCGUGUAAAAAUUCCUGGAGUUAUUUAUGAUACAUGAGCCCGUUGAAACCAAAAUGAAACCAAUCAAACAACAAAUACAAUAAAUCUAAAACGUUACCAUAUUUACAAUGCUCUUGCUGGUAGAUUUUUGGGUUCCGAAACCGUAUCAACCGUCUUCUCAAUACCCAAUAACGACCAUGACAGUUCUCGUGGCGUAGUCGUAAUGGUUCAGUCGGAAGAUCCGUGACAGGUUGAAGCGAUAUGAAGAUGAAAAGGGUUUAGUUGUGCGGUGGUCGACGGCGUGGGUUACUUCGGUGGCGGAGUUCGAUCCACGGUGGAAGGAAAAAGAAGAGUGAGGUUGUUUAGAUCGCAGUCAGCUUGGUAGAUGGCGUUGAAGGGAAUUCGCGGCGGCCAUGGCGGUUAGCCGGAAGUUGUUGAAGGAUGUUAAGGGCGGAGAAUUCGAGACGUACGGUGGAGUGUGUAUGUUAUGGUGGUGUUUGUUGGAAGGUUUGAGUUUAUGAAGAAGAAGAGGAUUUGAAGGAAUUGAGUGGGUAAGGGUGUGACGGCAGUGCGUUUUUUCAAGGGGAAGAAGAAGGUGGAUUUCAGUGUUUUGUGUGUGUGACGUUUGGGAGCAGAAGAAGUAUUCCUCCCUUUUUGUUUUUUUCUGUCCCAUGAGUCCCCUUUUUCUUGAGACAGAGUGGUGAUCCCCACGUGAAGAAGAAAUCUCUUUGUUUCCCCUUUUUCCCCGUUAGCCAGCUGUUCCUCCAUUAAUAAAAUCCCAUUUUUGUUCUUAUCCCAUCUCUCCCAAUAACAUGAUGCCACGUUUCAUGUUGAGAGUAUGGAUAAAAAAUCUUCUCAAAUGCAAGCUGUCAAACGUGUAUCUUUCACAAGUAUACAACUUUAUUUUUAAUUUUUAAUUUUUAAUGUUAAUAUUAAUAUUAUUUGAUUUUUCAUGAUUAAUAUUAUUAUUAAUUGAUUUUUGAUUGGAUAAUGGAAUAUGAUAACGAUUGCAAAUGAGAUCCGUGGAUUAAUUUGUAUCAACGAUCCUGAUUAAUCCAAAGAAGCACAAGCAAUUUUAAAAUGUCCGAUAUGUCCCUUUUAUAUGAUUUUAAUUGAUUUAAAAUAAUUUAAAUCAUCAAAUCAAAUUAAAUUCGCAUCUUUCUAAAUACAUACGAUAAAAAUAAAAUGAGAAUACGAAAAAUUCUAUUUAUUUCUUUUGAACAUUUUGGCGAAAGAAUAAAAAUAAAAUGACUAAAAAUUAAUAAAAGUCGGACGAAAAUUUGUUUAAAAAAUUAAAUCGGACGCACUAAAAUGAUCAGCGCGAAAUAUACUUAUUGAAAAAAUACAUCAUUUCUUUUAAUUUUGAAAUAAAUUUUGACCGAUUGAAAGGCUUAGACGGAUCAAAAUGCGAUUGAAAAAGUCGUCGAAAAAUAUAACGAGCACACCAUGUUAAACUACGCAGACCAUAGAUUAAUAAUACUGGCGUAUGCAAGUUUAAUUUUGAAACUUUUUACACGCUGAUUUUGCACGUACUUGAGAAAUGAUUUAACCAAUUUGUCUAUAUUUUCAAUAAUUUAUUUCGACCGAUAUUUUAAGUAUUAUUCAUGAUGAAAUGCAUGUUAUGCUGUACAACUGAUGCAAAUUAAAAAUGAAAUCAAGUUUAUGAAAAAUUUAAAAUGUCUGGACAAAAUUGGGGUAUGACAGCUGCCCCUAUUUAGUUACCUUGAUCCGGAAAGUAAGAAUUACAGCAGUGUCCGUAAAUUCGUGGUGGAAGGUAAUUAAAUACGAAAAGACCCAAAUUUUGUCCUUUGAAAUGUGAUGGAGAAAUGUAGAAAGAAAAUGUAACGAAUCCUAACGACAUCCAGGGUAUUAGGGGUAGAAUAUCCGAUCAAUGCCAACCCUCGAGUCGACAUUUAAAUCUUGCAAAGGUCGUUAUUGAUAUGAGGACAAACCUGAGCAGGUUUUCUGGCACCAAAAGGAUGACAAUAGAAUUAAUUGCCAUCACCAAAAGGGUGAUAGUAAUUCACCAUGAUUUCCGGGAUCGUCAUCACCAAAAGGAUGAUGGAAUACCAAGCUUCAAAGGUAGUCAUCACCAAAAGGAUGAUGGUUAUCCUGAUAAAGCUUUCCAUUACCGAGGGGGUAAUAUUAAGACUAUCAUCAAAAGGACGAUAGUUAACUCAUCAACUUCAAAGAUCACCGUCACCAAAAGGAUGAAAGUAAGUUCAACGACAAAACUUAUUAUCACCAAAAGGAUGAUGCUAAGUCACGGCAACUUCAUUGGAUCACCAUCACCAAAAGGAUGAAGGUAACAUUAACAACAAAACUUGUUAUCACCAAAAGGAUGAUAAAAAGUCAACAAUCACCAUCACCAAAAGGAUGAAGGUACUACCAAACAACAGAACUUGUUACCACCAAAAGGAUGAUAAUAAGUCAACAAUAUUAAUGAUCACCAGUAUCCAAAGGAUGAAGGUAAGAUCAACAACGAAACUUGUUAUCACCAAAAGGAUGAUAAUAAGUCACAAACUUCAAAUGAUCACCAUCACCAAAAGGGUGAAGGUAAGAUCAAAUAACAGAACUUGUUACCACCAAAAGGAUGAUAACAAGUCAUCAACCACCAUCACCAAAAGGAUGAAGGUAAAAACAAACAACAAAGCUUGUUACCCUCAAAAGGAUGAUAAUAAGUCAACAACUCAAAUAAUCACCAUCACCAAAAGGAUGAAGGUAAGAUUAAUAACAAGACUUGUUACCACCAAAAGGAUGAUAAUGAGUCACAAUCACCAUCACCAAAAGGAUGAAGGUAUUAUUGAACAACAAAACUCGUUAUCACCAAAAUGAUGAUAAUAAGUUACAACAACUUAAAUGAUCACCAUCACCGAAAGGAUGAAGGUAAGAUCAGAACAAAACUUGUUACCACCAAAAGGAUGAUAGUAAGUCGAGACAAACUUUAAUGAUCGCCAUCACCAAAAGGAUGAAGGUAAGAUCAAAUGACAAAACUUAUUACCACCAAAAGGAUGAUAAUAAGUCAAAAACUUCACAUGAUCACCAUCACCAAAAGGAUGAAGGUAUGAUCAACAACAAAACUUGUUACCUCCAAAAGGAUGAUAAUAAGUCACAAACUUCAAAUGAUCACCAUCACCAAAAGGAUGAAGGUAUGAUCAACAACAAAACUUAUUACCACCAAAAGGAUGACAAUAAUCUUUAAUAAUGAGAGGUCUCCAUUCACCAAAAGGAUGAAGGUUGGACCCAAAACUUCAAGGAUCUUCGACACCAAAAGGAUGACGGUAAGAUCACAAAUGUCAAGGGUUUACCAUUACCAAAAGGAUAACGGUUAUCAUAAACAAGGAGAUGAUUAAUAUUAUUCCUCAAUGAACUUUCACCAAAAGAAUGAUAGUGAGAAAAAUAUUUGGAAUAAUAAAGCUACUGACAAAGUUCAAUAAACCCGACUUGUUGGGUAGUAUUAGAACGUUACUGGGUAAGACUUGCUUGGGGUAUCGACAAUAAAAGGUUGCAGAAAAAUAUUCUCUGGAAAACAUAAUUUCCAUCAACAAAAGGUUAAAAGAAACAUCUCAUCGAGGAACGCUCAAUGAGAAACAAGGUAGGGGUUUGAAGAAAAAUUGUUCGACUUAGAUGAGGGUAACACCUUAUUAACAAAAGGUUAGAGGAUGUAAAUCAACGGGGAACACCCAACAAUACAAGGUAAGAACUCACUCAGAGAAAAUAAUAAAUGACUCAACUGAGGGUUGGCCUGGACACCUACGACUAAACCUUGGAUCUUGAUUCGUGCUAUAUGCAUGAAUGUUAUGUAUGCGUUAUGUAUGAGAUGAUGUAUGCAGUGCAUGUUUGAAUGUAAAGGAUGAUUGGUUUGUUUAGAAUUGGUCCCCCCUUUUCAAAGGAGAUGUAUUUUCUGGAAACAAAUACUGGUUGUAUUUGUUUUUGUGUGGGUUCCAACAAGGUGGACUUUGGGUUUUUUGGUAAUUGCCAAUAUGAGUUUGAUUGUUGGUGGGUGAAAGGAUCUGACUUCCCGACACUUGGUAGUUUAUGAUCUGAUGAACACGCAAUGGAUGUGGAUACGCUCGAUGCCCUAAGUUUGAUUUCUUGCUGUUAUGUUGUGUCUUUGCCCCUGAGGGGAACUCGACUUCUUCUUCUGAGAUGUUGGGUCAGCUUGUAACCGAGCAUAGUGACAUGAUCAACGCAUGAUGAUUAUGCUUUUGACGUGCCGCAAGGUUUCUUGUCAAGAUGUGAUAUUGUACCGGUAUGAAGUUUUGACAUUUUGGUUGUGAUCUUAGACAGUUUCUAGUGUCUGACACAAUCUGCCUGACCGACUUGAAGAUAUGAAGUGAAUUUUCCCCUUGCAACUUGUCUUGCCCAGUCUGUAGGGUGUUCAAAGGAAUUAUCCUUGAAAGGAAACCCUUAGGAGUGAUUAUCCCAUGACAUGGUCUGAGUCUGUUUCCUCCAACGUUUGUCUCUUGUGGUGGGAUAAACACAGAAAUGGAUAACAAAUGGUUUUGAACUCGGCAUUCAUGUCGUGUGAUUUUCUCUCUUCUUCUUUUUUUCUCGUGCAUAACUCAUAGCUUUGGGGGUUUAUCCACUUUUGGCUCUUUUCAACUCAAUUCUUUGUGAGCAUUUUAAAGGUGUUAGAGUCUUAAGUCUCGGCAAGUGCAUUUUCUUUUUUUUUUUUUCUUUUUGGACAUACACAUGUCUCUACUUUUUGUAUUGCUUUUAGAUCUCUUAUUAUGCACUUGCCCUUUCUUUCAAGAUUACCACCCCAAACUUAGCUUUUUGCACAUCUUGUAACUCACAACAAUCAUGCCGAGUGAUGGGAUGAAAUGAACGAUUAAUGGUCAACAUGGGGUUUAUUACGAACAAAAUGGCUAAGGCUCAACGGGGUUCACGAAGGGUAAACAUAUAAACAUGGAUGGCUAGAAAGGCUCUGGAUUAAACAAACAACUUGCCUCAGUGCGUGUUGUCAUGCUGUGAAGUGUCAAAAGAACAUACGCAAAAUCAGAGUGAUAGAGUCAUACCUGGCUGAACUCUCAUGAUAUUUAGUGUUUGGCCUUUUUAUUCUCACCAUGUUGGUUAAACUUACAAGCUCUGAAGCCUCCUAGUGUCAUGUGGUUUCUUUUCUGAUUCGGUUCUACCAUACCGCUCUCUUGGUCCAGUGUCACCAAAUUGUGUCCGACUUUUACUUUCUCAUGGUUGCAUCAACUUCCGGGGUACCUUAAUAGAACAAGUAUGAGGGGUGUCUUUCAUCCACUACAACCGAUCCCGGAUUCGUCCACAAUUUCUCAUCACUCUGUACACACCGAUAAACAAUAAAAACAAACGUUGAAGGAAAACAUGAACAAAAUGAAAACGAAAUAAAACAUGAAAGGAAAACCCCUCCCCCCCCCCACACCUGAACUAAACAUUGACCUCAAUGUUUAAAUCCAGAUACAAAGGGGACUCACAGCGACUACUGUUGUUUUACUGCACUUGUGUGGUUUCCUUCCAUUUUGAGGUGUUUGUGACUUUAUUAAAUCCAGAUACAAAGGGGACUCACAGCGACUACUGUUGUUUUACUGCACUUGUGUGGUUUCCUUCCAUUUUGAGGUGUUUGUGACUUUGCCCUUCUAAUUCUCCUCCUCCCCUACAACAAAAUUCUAGCACACAAAAAGAAAAAGAAAAACGAAAUAAAUUAGAAAUCAAACGCGUGGGUUGCCUCCCACGAAGCGCUUCCUUUAACGUCGCAUGGCUCGACGGUUCAUUUCCCUUAUCAUGGGGGGUAUUUCAGGUUCAAAACCUUGUUGCACCUCUUGUCUCUAACUCGGACGUUGUCUCUUUUAUCAGUGUUGACUCCUUUGCACCACGUUCCUUUUUAACCUUCCUUUCGAUGUUAGGAAUCUUCCCGUUUAGGGUGGCUACUGGCAGUGGUGAGACUUUGAUAGUAUUCAAUGUCCUGAUUAAGCCUACUUGAUACUGAGAUUUUGUAUCUUCCUCCAUAUCCUGGUCUUCAAUAGCUUUCAAUGUUAUUUCCUUGUUGUGAACUUUCAAGGUUAACGUGCACUCAUCCAUGUCGAGCUCGCAUCGACUCGUCUUCAUGAAAGGUCUACCCAGAAUGAUGGGUGCCUCAUUGUCUUCAGGUAUGUCUAGGAUUACAAAAUCGACUGGGAAAGUCAAGUCCGCUAUUGUUACCAACACAUCUUCAACCAUACCAUACGCAUCUUUUCUUGAGUGAUCCGCAAACUUCAGAUUGGUCUUUAUAUCACUGAUAUUUCUAAUACCCAGCCUGUGAUAGAUCGAUAAUGGCAUCAGAUUCAUACUAGCUCCAUAACCUAUUAGUACCUUUUUGAAGGUUCUUUCUUUGAUUGUGCAUGGUACUGUGACGGUUCCUGGAUCCUUUUAUUUGUUAGGAAUGUUCUGCUCCAGGGAGUUUGCAUUAUAUUGUUCCUUACCGGAUACCUGUUCUUCAGUGGUUGGUUUCUUUUCAGCCAUUACCUCUUCCACGAAUUUCUUGUACAUGGGCAUCCUUUCAAGUGGUUCAAACAAAGCCAUAUGACCCUCAAUCCUUUUAAACAUUGUCAUGAAUUUCUCCAAGUCUGACUCACUAGGUUCCUUCUUUGUCAUUCUCUGAGGGUAGGCAACUUAAUCACCGGUUUAGUUCCUUUUGUAGUUUCUUCUUGAGUCGGCUCUCUCGGUGAUGUAAUUUUUUCUUUUUAGCAGCCUUUUUCUCUGUCGUCGUGACAGUAUUAAACAUCUCUGACCUCUCGGAUUUUGAACUGUUUCACUUGGUAGGGAACCUGGUGUUCGAGAACUUGCCAGUUGCUGGGCUAUCUGCCCCAGCUGAACUUCGAGAUUCUUUAGGGAUGCGGCGAUGUUUUUCUGAUUGUUUCUAGUCUCUUCUUCAAAUUGCCCAUUUUGAGCUGCCGUCUUUUCAAUUGCAAUCUCCCAAUCUGCCUUCUUUGGGACUUGAUUUUGCUGUUGCUGAUAUUGGUUUUGAUAUUGGCCUUGUACUUGCUGUUGCACAUUCCCUUUCUGAUCCCUCCAUGCAAAGUUUGGAUGAUUCUUCCACCCCGGGUUGUAUGUGUUGGAGUAGGGAUUGUUUUGCUUUAAAAACUUGAUAUCUUCUAUCUGUUGCGGUGUUGCAAAGCAAUGAACAGUAUUGUGUGGUCCAUUACAAAUGCCACACACAUCGUUAGGUGCCUGUUGUACUUGAGCCACUUUCUGCGCACCUAUGUUUAGUGCCUUCAACCUUUUCUCCACCUCUGCAACAACUGCUUCUUCAAUUUUUACCUGUUUGUUUAUUUUAAGCUUCAAAUCAAUUACUGCAGAUUUGCUUGACACCCUAUCAUACAACUCCAGAUGCUCAUUUGAGGAAAUUGCUUCAAUUAUCUUCUUCAUACCGGUGGCUGUUGCAAAGUUAGCUGAGCCACCAGCUGUUGAGUCAAGGAUUUGUCUCGUUUGAAUUCGAAGACCAUUAACAAACAUUUGCAUCUGCUCAGUUUCAUCCAUGUUGUGAGUAGGACAAGCCACUAGGAUUCUCUUGAAUCUUUUAUAGGCAUCUCCUAUCGUUUGAAUUCGAAGACCAUUAACAAACAUUUGCAUCUGCUCAGUUUCAUCCAUGUUGUGAGUAGGACAAGCCACUAGGAUUCUCUUGAAUCUUUUAUAGGCAUCUCCUAGUGACUCACCCUCCUUUUGCUUGAAGUUUAGGAUCUCCUAUCUUUUUCUCAGUGACAUAGAUGCGGGAAAAUAUUCCUGCAAGAAUGUUGUUUCCAUCUGCUCCCAUGUAGUGAUACUGCCAGCCGGUAAGGAAUAGAAUCACUCUUCGGCUUCAUCUGCUAAAGUGAAUGGGAACAUACGAAGCCUUAUUGCUUCUUCGUUAUGUCCAGGCAUUUUCAGCGUUGUGCUCAUAGUUAAAAAUCUUUGCGGAUGCUUGUUGGCAUCUUCAUUCACUCUUCCAGAAAAGGACCGCCUUUCGAGUUGAUUAAUUAUGCUGGGAUGCAAUUGAAAUUGUUUUACAUUAACCGGGUGGUUUACAAUUGUCAUCCGACCACCCGGAGUGUUGGUUCCACCAUUGUCACCGAGAAGUCUCUCGGGUGGUGGUGGUGGUGGUGGGUUUGCAGCCAUGAUUUCAGGAACUAUUUCCGCGUCUGAAUCUGAAUUCUCUGAGUGCACUGAAACAACUUCCUCCUCUGCUUUCUUUGCUAAUUCCAGUUUUUCUCUCUUAGCUUGUCUUAGUCUAGCACGAAGAGUUCUUUCUGGAUCUGCGUCAAAAGAAAAAUCCGCUGAGGCCUUACCUCGCAUAAACAAGUUAGACAAAUAUUAGAAUUGAAUAACAAGAUUGUCACAGAUAAAAUUUUGGUUGACGAGCAGAUAUAAAUUCACAAAACCAACCAAACCCUUGUCUUUUUGUUCAAAUAGAAUCAGAAGUAAAAUAAGUAUUUCCCCCGCAAUCCCUGAGAUCGAUACUUGGAAAUAAAAUCCUAUUACAUCAAUCGCGUAAAAAAGUACACUUGCUAAUUCCGAUCAAGUUUUUGGCGCCGUGUCGGGUAAUGCCAAAUAAAACCUAUUUUAAUUUUUAAUUCUUAUUAUGAAAUUUUACAAAAAAAGUUGCUCAGCAAACCAAAAAAUAUUUAUAUGCCUGUAGUGACACACAUCUUAUCAAUCUAAUAUUGAUACGCCAAAAUUAAACAAUUGUUUAUGCGAGACAGUAAGCCUCAAGCGGAUUUUCUUUUAUGACGACAAUCCACGAAAGAACUACUUCGUGCUAGCACUAGAGACAAGCAAACGGAGAAGAAAAACAAUGGAAUAGCAAAGAAAGGCAGAGGAGGAGGAAAGAUUGUUUCAGUGCAACUCAGGAGAAUUCCGAUUCAGACGCGGAAAAUAAAUACAAAAAUCGUUCCUCGACAAUAUCAAAUGGCAAUGCAAAACACCCACACCACACAACAACAACACUCCAAACCACACCACACACCUGAGAAAAAAACUUAUCGAACCAAGAUAACAAGAUUGAGUGGAAAACCAAACCACUCCGGGUAGUGGACGAUGACAAAAUGUGAAACACCCAGGUAUGAUUAAAAACACAUUAAAUUACAAUUGUACCCAGCAAUAAUUAAAAUGCAAACUCGAAAAGAACGACACGUUCAUUUAUAUAAAUCUGGAAAGAUAAAAAAAGAUACAGCGAGUAAACAACAAAACAUUGUUGAAUGAAAAAAUGGUAGGAACCACAAACAAAAGAAAAAAGCAAACAAAAAAUACAAACCAACGAGGACAAAAAAACAAAAAAAGAAGAAAAGAGAAUAAAGAGAAAUAAUUACUUAACUCAUGAGCCAACAACGGCUUGAGAAAAUGCCCUGAACCAUAACGAAGAAGCAAUUAAGGAGUUCGCUAGUCCAUUACUCUUAGCAGAUGAAAGUCACGAAGGAGGUGAUAUACAUCAUCAAACUUAAAGCCGAAAAAAAGUGCUCGGCCAAAGAAUCAACCACAUCGGAGCAAGAGUGGAACUAUAAAACACAACAUUCUUGCAGGAAUAAUUAGUCGACAUAUAUAGAGUCCACUAGGAGAAAAAAAAAGAAAUAAAAAAAAAAAGAACCAAAGCAAUUAAAAUAGCAAAAACAGCAGCCUGGGCAUUGUUACAGGAAGCAUCAAUCAAAUAAACCAACACAAAACACGAAAUUCAAAUUUCUGGAAAAAUUAAAAACAUGUAAGCUACAUUGAACAAGCCAGGGUUCUAUGGUUUUUUUAGAAAACAACAGCCAUAACAACCACAUCAUCAUUCAAAACAGCAACCAAAAACAACAGCAUUACAAAAUAUGCUAUUUCGACAGUGGAAUUCUCUUUCUGAAAGACAUGACUGAUUUGGCAACUAACAUAACCAGCUGCAUUCAUCAUCCUUCUACUAAUGUUAACCUACAUCAAUCAUAUAACAAGAUUUCAGAAUAGAGAAAGGCCCUAGUUCACAGAGGUGAACAUUCCCUCCCUCUCUUGGCAACCUAAGACAAGAGUCCUCUCCGUUUCACUACCUCCUGCCGAUUCCCCGGUUGUUCCCCCCCCCCCCCUCCCCCCGUUGUUGAGAGCAGAUUACCUCCUUGUGAAGUUUUAGCACUCUCCGCACAUUCUUCCUUUUUUCUCCAUGACCCCAUAGAGCGGGGACCAUCUCCUCCGCAAGCGGCACCCCCCCAUAAGCCAAAACCAAACACAAACAACCAAAUUCGGAGCCCAAGUAUGCUGGGCUAUUGUUAUUUGUUCAAACAACAGCAAAGCAAUCAUGUUCAUCAUGCAAUCAAACAGUCGAUCACAAUUGAAACUCAAACUAGCAGUGGGCGUAGCAAACAUGGGCAUUUGGUACAAGUUUGUUCAUGCCAACAUCACUUCACUCACACAAUCUGUCCCAAAAGUCUAAUUAAUUGUUUAACAACAGACAAGCAUAAGGCAAAGGAAAUUCCUGAUGAUGGCGCAGAGCUAAUAUUAUGAACCACAACCCAAACAGGUUAAUUAGCGAAUAUCAGAGAAUUCCUACAUCUCGCAUGGCUUCUCUCAAUUAUACAUCAUAACAAGUGUCGUGGAGCAAUAGGAAACCACAAUCAACCCAAAAUGGCCGUUAGCAUUGUGGCUUCGUCGCUAUUAAUGGAACAUCACAGGCCUUAGCAACAUCAACAACAACCAAAUUCUACAAACAUAUAGACACGUGUGGUGCAUCAUANUGGUUGGUUUUGUGAAUUUAUAAUAAUAAACACAAAAAGAUAGUAGAAAUAAUUGAUUAAGAUAAAAUAUGCUAGGGUGAGUGGUUGAUUUAACCAGUUAUGAAUUCAGUCAAGAUUUCCUUAAUACACAUGAAACAUUCAAUUACCUAACCGCAUAAUGUUCUUCCUUAAGUCCUUAAGGAAGAAACUAUUAAACUACCAAUUCUUACUCAAAUGUCCAUUCAAUUAAUCAUUGGUUUUAAUCAUAAACAAUAUCAAGGUUUAUGGUGAUUCACAAAUGUUCCUAGUCCUAGGUGAUGCAAUUAUAAACCCAAUUGUGUGAAAACACUAACAAUCACAAUCCUGUUAUUGAUAGUCAUAGAUCUAUUUGUAUUUGUCUGAUACAAAAGCAUAAGCACAUCAGACAAUUGAAUUGAAAUUCGUAACAUAGUAAUAAGGAAAUCCAUAGAUAGAAUUCAUAACAUCAGACCAAAUCAGGACCACCCCCCUAGCAUUGGGGGUUUAGCCUCUCAUAGUAUUCAAAGAAAUCAUAGUAUAGAAAUUAAACAUUACAAAGAAUGAGGAGAUUUUGAUCUUCAAUGGGUGAUGCCCUUGAAUCUCGCCGUCUUUGAAUCCUCCGUAGUAGCUAUCUUCUCCGGUGCAAUGUUUCUUUUCGUACGUCAAAAAGUGUCUUCUCUAUCUCUCCAAAGUCUUUUAAUAGCCUCAGAUGGUUUUUCCCCAGUAAGAAGUCCAAAAUACCCUUAAUGAACAGGGCAGAUCCACACAACAAAAAGUAAAAUUUCUCAGCCGCGCCCAUCAACACUGGCAGUGUGGAUACACAUGGGUGCCCGUGUUGAUUCACACGGGCCGUGUGAAUUUACAUGGGUACCCGUGUUGUUUUCAAGAGUUAUGUUUUUUAAAGCAAGCUACAGAGGCAUCAACACGGGCCGUGUUGAUGCACACGGGUGCCCGUGUUAACCCUCUAUUUUACCUCCUGGAGUGCUUGUUUCCGGACAAACAACACGGGCCGUGUUGAUGUACACGAGGGCUCGUGUUGACCUACUGUAUCUUCAUAUUUUGGCCUUCCGGAGCAUCCAAUACUCGGCUAUUAGUCCUUUGGAACCUAUGCACAACCUGCAACAUUAACACUACCAAAUCGAAGCAUAAAAAGAGACUUUUUGACAUAAACAAGUAACAAAAUGCAAUGCACUAAUAAACUAACAAAACUUGUUAAAUGACUUUAAAAUAACUAAAAACAACCACAAGUCUGACCAAACUGAUGAAAAUAUGUCGGAUAAAAGGUGGGAAUUCAAUGGAAAUGGUGACCGAUCAUCGGUUAUUCUUCUGUGCUUCAGCCAAGCUGACUCACCGAUACAACACUCGCGCCAAUCAACCCAAGAUCUUGGAACAUUUGGAACAAGAGAACAAGGAGCUGAAGGAUGAGAUUGCAUGGUUGACUUCCAUGAUGGAGGUUGUUCUUGCUCCGCAUAAUCAGUCUUCACCAACUCCCGCAACUCCUCCAUAGAGGAUUGUCGUUUCUUAGGUUUCUACCUCGACUAUUCCUGUUGAUGUUAGCCAAUCCGGGUUUUCUAUGCCUGCUGGAUUCCCAUAGGAAAUGCCGCCAACAUUUGUGCCUGAAGGGUUUAUGCCUACCUUUGUUUCUAUGCCAGAAUCUAGCCCGAUCAUGUCUAUGCCUCCUCUAGUUGUUCAUACUUUGCCUCGUGUUGAGGGCACCAUCAACCAUUCUGAGACAUCUGAGGGACCAGAUGUUUAUGAGAAGAUGGAUGAAAUAAAGGAUCGGUUCCUUGAGUUGCAAAAAGAGAUGAAAACAUUGAGAGGAAAGGACCUGUUUGGUAAGAGUGUUGCUGAACUCUACUUGGUACCAAAUGUGAAAAUCCUGAUGAAGUUCAAGGUCCAUGACUUUGAAAAGUAUAAGGGAAAUGCUUCUCUAUUUAGUCACCUUGUUAUGUACGCCAGGAAGAUGUCAACUCAAACUAAUAAUGAUUAGUUGUUGAUUCACUAAUUUCAAGACAGUUUAAUCGGUGCUACUCUGAGAUGGUAUAUGGAUCUAGACAGUGCAAGUGUUCAUACUUUCAACGAUUUGGGUAAAGCUUUUGCUAAGCAGUACAAGUAUAAUGUGGAUAUGGUGCCUGAUAGACACCAAAUAAGGUAUAUGUCUCAGAAGGAUAAGGAGACGUUUAAAGAGUAUGCUCAGAGGUGGAGGGAACUUGCUGCUCAGAUUAAUUCUCCAUUAGAAGAGAAAGAGAUGACGAAGAUUUUCCUUAAGACCUUGAGUUCAUUUUAUUACGAACGUAUGAUUGCCAGUGCCCCUAGUGACUUUACCGAAAUAGUAAACAUGGGGAUGAGGUUAGAAGAGGGAGUCCGUGAUGGACGUCUGUCUAAGAAAGAAGCGUUGUCCAAUAAGAAGUAUGGAAGUGGUUUCUCCAAAAGAAAAGAGGCGGAAACUAAUUCACUAUCUGUAGGGAGGCUGAGGAGGCCUCAUGUUAGAAGGAGUUCCCAACCACGUCAGCAUCAACAUCAAGUCUUUUCAGUGAUUCCCGUCUUUUCCAAUAGUUCCAUUAAUCAACUUGUUCCAAUUCAACAACAACAACAACGUCAACAACAACCGCAGCAAAGAACCACCACCACCACCAACAAUAAUCAACAAUAAAACUUUGAGAGGAAGAAGGUCUCUUUUGACCCUAUUCCUAUGUCAUACGCCGAAUUAUAUCCAUCCUUGGUUCUCAAGAACCUACUUCAACCCAGAAAUCCACCGCAAAAUCCCGAGCCACUUCCAUGGUGGUUCAAACCUGAACUCCGUAGUGCCUUUUACCAAGGAGCCCCUGGCCAUGACAUUGAUAACUGCUAUCCAUUGAAGUAUGAAGUACAAAAGCUUGUGAAGAGUGGGAUGGUGUCGUUUAAGGACCGUGCGCCUAAUGUGAAAGCCAAUCCUUUACCUGCUCAUGGUAAUGCUUCAGUCAACAUGGUUGAUGGUUGUCCUGGGGAGUUCAAUAUUUAAGACAUCCACUAUAUCAGAAGGUCCUUAGUGGCAAUGCAUAAGGAUAUUCGUAUGGUUAGUGAAUGUGAGCAUGACCAUGAUGGUUGUGCAAUCUGUAGUGUGAACCCUCGAGGAUGUGUUAUUGUCAAGAGGGAUAUUUAAAGGUUGGUGGAUGAAGGUCUUAUCCAAAGUUUUCAAUCCCGUCACUUGGGAAAUGAUGUUAAUGUGAUUGUUCCUAUGUUUAAGACCCCUGAGUGGGUAGUAAUCCAGUUCAAUAGUAGUAGCAGUAACAACGUUAAUAGAUCGGUAUCAUCGUUAGUAAUACGGUUAACAGGCCCCAUCCCGUAUGCAUCCGAUAAAGCUGUGCCUUAUCAGUAUAAUGCCACAAUGGUGGAGAAUGUCCAAGAGGUUCUGUUUCCCGUAGCAGAUUUUGUGGUGAAUAUAGCUGAUAUUGCAAAGGUGACCCGUAGUGGUCGUGUCUUCAGCCUGUAAGAAGGUGGAUGUGCCUGUGGUGAAUCCAGUUAGUGCUCCAGUUUGUCAGUCUGGUGAAUCCAUCAAGCUGAAGCCUAAUGAUAAUGAUGAAGUUUUGAGGUUGAUAAAAAGAAGUGAAUUCAAUGUGGUGGGGCAGCUUAUCUAAACCCCAUCAAAGAUUUCAGUGUUGUCUUUGUUCAUGAACUCCGAAGCACAUAGAGAAGUGUUGCAGAAAGUCUUAGAGCAAUCCUAUGUUGAGCAUGAUAUCACUGUGUGUAGCGGUAAAUUCAUGAUCAUCCAGCUAUGGAUAAGCUGGAGAUCAAUAAAACCAGAGUCGCCACCGCGCUUUUAUUAUUUUCAAGGGAAAAGGGAAAAAGUACGAACAAAACCCAAAAGUAAGAAGUUUUCAAAUCAAAACUAAUAAAAUGUCAGAGAUUACAGGUAAGGGGGUUGGUUACACAGAGGGAAGGUGUUAGAACCCAAAGUGUUCUAGGUACUCCAAGGGAGCCCUUUCUUGUGUGCGUAUGUAUUUUGUACAAAGUGAUGUUUACAAACAAAUAGAAUGGAGGGAUGAGAAAAGAAUUCAUUAAUUAUAUUUUUAUGUUUGAAAAGACCUUCGGACUUAUGCCUACAUACUGUAAGACCCUAAUUUUGACCCUAAGAUCCCUCAUGGCAUCAUAACAUUGCAUUUGCAUCAUAGCCUCAAGGAAAAUUUGCAUCUUGGUUCCCUUUGCCUUUGGGUGGGAUCUCUUGAGAUUUGGUUUGAGAUCACCAAGCAUGCUUGAAUUGUAUAUUAUUGCUUUUCUCAUUUUAUUUACUAACCAAAAGCACAAAAAUAUGUCACUAACAUCUUUUGUUUGUAGCUUGAGCAGUCAGUAUAUUAUUGCUUUUCUCAUUUUAUUUACUAACCAAAAGCACAAAAAUAUGUCACUAACAUCUUUUGUUUGUAGCUUGAGCAGUCACAAGGUCUAAAGCUUCUAGGAGAUCCUAUGUGCAUUGAUAUGGUUAAGAGAAGGUGAAAGCAAGCAUGGAAAUGGUUCCUAAAGCUAUCAUCCAUCAAAUAUGCCUCCCAAGUAUCUCAAUUUAUCAUUUUGAUCAAAGCAAACAAGGGGCUUGAGGCUUGUUUUCCAAGGGAACCCUACUUCAUCUGUUCAUCAACUAUGCCUUGCUCAUGAAGCAACCUCAGCCCAUGAUCAAAUUCAAUCAAGGGAAGUUCUUUAAUU
rnacentral:lncRNA from 1 species